AACAACAAAUAUACUUACAAUAUACCAAUGAUGGCGAGACAUUAUUCGAGAAAGUACUUUCCAAGGACACCAUACUCCAGCCGUCCAA